rnacentral:rRNA from 1 species
ACACGUACGGUGCAAGCGUUGUUCGGAAUUAUUGGGCGUAAAGGGCAUGUAGGCGUCAGACAAGCUUGGUGUGAAAUCUACGGGCUUAACCCGUAAACUGCAUUGAGAACUAUUUGACUAGAGUCACUGAAGUGCAACCAGAAUUCCAGGUGUAGGGGUGAAAUCUGUAGAUAUCUGGAAGAAUACCAAUGGCGAAGGCAGGUUACAGGCAGAUGACUGACGCUGAGGUGCGAAGGUGUGGGGAGCAAACAGGAUUAGAUACCCUGGUAGUCCGCACAGUCAACGAUGUACACUAGGUGUCUGUACAAGAGUAUGGGUGCCAAAGUAAACGCGAUAAGUGUACCGCCUGGGGAGUAUGCCCGCAAGGGUGAA